CGUAGGUGGCAAGCGUUGUCCGGAAUUAUUGGGCGUAAAGCGCACGCAGGCGGUUCCUUAAGUCUGAUGUGAAAGCCCCCGGCUCAACCGGGGAAGGUCAUUGGAAACUGGGGAACUUGAGUGCAGAAGAGAAGAGCGGAAUUCCACGUGUAGCGGUGAAAUGCGUAGAGAUGUGGAGGAACACCAGUGGCGAAGGCGGCUCUUUGGUCUGUAACUGACGCUGAGGCGCGAAAGCGUGGGGAGCAAACAGGAUUAGAUACCCUGGUAGUCCACGCCGUAAACGAUGAGUGCUAAGUGUUAGAGGGUUUCCGCCCUUUAGUGCUGCAGCUAACGCAUUAAGCACUCCGCCUGGGGAGUACGGCCGCAAGGCUG
rnacentral:rRNA from 1 species